AUGGAGGGCAGGAAGCUACCGGGCCUGGUGCUCCCAGUCUACUGGUGGGUGCGACGGACAGCACCCACCAGGAGCCAUGACGAUCAUCAACUGGAACUGCCGGGGCCUCGGACAGUUCAGGAACUCGUGUGCCUUGUGCGCACGUAUCGUCCUUCUCUAGUUUUCAUCUCUGAAACUAGGAAAAGUGAGGAGUAUAUCAAUAAACUGCGUAGGAGACUUGGUCUUAAGCACUGCAUUUCCCAUGUCUAAAAAGGGAAGGGUGCAGGUAUCGCUCUCUUCUAUGACGAGCAAGUUGAAAUAAAAAAGCUCGCUGUUGGCCCAAGUUAUAUUGAUGUGUUCAUUCGUCUCAAUCCCCAUGGCCGUCAAUGA
rnacentral:rRNA from 1 species